CUGAUGUUAAGUAUAGUUUAAUGGUAUUGUAUGCUAGUUUCAUAGCGAUGUGGCGAAAAGUUGUGAAUGCAACCAUGGUUUCUAUAGAAAAAAUAUUUAUUGCAUUAAAGUCUUACACAAACUUCUUAAACACACCAUAUGCUCUAGCGUAACCUUUUUUGUGUUAAUUGACAAACCAGCCUGUGCAAGUGACCUACUGUGUUUUAACAACAGAUUUAAAGCAUAAUUAGGUCUUUGAAUUGUGGAGGUUCUCUGGGCUCAACGUGCGCUGUAGGAUGUAGUCUGAAAAAUUCCUGUAAAUUAGAACGUGACCGAACAUCAGCUGCGUUGUUCAGAAUGCCUGGUACAUGGAUGCAAUAUACACAGAACUGUUGAUUAGCUGCCAACCAGGUAAGUUUCCUUACUAAAUUCAUUAUAGUAGGGGAUUCCGAGCGGGCUUUGUUAAUAAUGUUACGUGCCGCUAAGUUCCGAAAAACACCUAACUGCUUUACCUUUCCUUUCUUUGCUCCAUUUGUUAGCUGCUACUAUUGAAAAAAAUUAAAACAGUGCUGAGGUCUUGUUAAAAUUCUCUAACGCAGAGGUUUUGUC